rnacentral:rRNA from 1 species
AUUGAACGCUGGCGGCAGGCCUAACACAUGCAAGUCGAACGGUAACAGGAAGCAGCUUGCUGCUUUGCUGACGAGUGGCGGACGGGUGAGUAAUGUCUGGGAAACUGCCCGAUGGAGGGGGAUAACUACUGGAAACGGUAGCUAAUACCGCAUAACGUCGCAAGACCAAAGAGGGGGACCUUCGGGCCUCUUGCCAUCGGAUGUGCCCAGAUGGGAUUAGCUUGUUGGUGAGGUAACGGCUCACCAAGGCGACGAUCCCUAGCUGGUCUGAGAGGAUGACCAGCCACACUGGAACUGAGACACGGUCCAGACUCCUACGGGAGGCAGCAGUGGGGAAUAUUGCACAAUGGGCGCAAGCCUGAUGCAGCCAUGCCGCGUGUAUGAAGAAGGCCUUCGGGUUGUAAAGUACUUUCAGCGGGGAGGAAGGUGUUGUGGUUAAUAACCGCAGCAAUUGACGUUACCCGCAGAAGAAGCACCGGCUAACUCCGUGCCAGCCGCCGCAGUAAGAC